GACGAACGCUGGCGGCGUGCUUAACACAUGCAAGUCGAGCGGUAAGGCCCUUUCGGGGGUACGACGAGCGGCGAACGGGUGAGUAACACGUGGGUGACCUGCCCUCAGCUCUGGGAUAAGCCUGGGAAACUGGGUCUAAUACUGGAUAUGACUCCACGGUGCAUGUCGUGGGGUGGAAAGCCUUGUGCGGCUGAGGAUGGGCCCGCGGCCUAUCAGCUUGUUGGUGGGGUGANGGCCUACCAAGGCGACGACGGGUAGCCGGCCUGAGAGGGCGACCGGCCACACCGGGACUGAGACACGGCCCAGACUCCUACGGGAGGCAGCAGUGGGGAAUCUUGCGCAAUGGGCGAAAGCCUGACGCAGCGACGCCGCGUGAGGGAUGACGGCCU
rnacentral:rRNA from 1 species